AAAGAAUUUGGCGGUGUUUUAGUCUAGUUAGAGGAACCUGUAUCCUAAACGAUACACCACGCAUUAUUUUACUUAUUUUAGUAGUCAGCUUGUAUACCGUCAUUAUAAGAUAAUUUAGGAGAUAAUAUUAUUGAAAUUAUAUCAUUGAGUAUAUUAGAUCAAGGUGCAGCUUAUGGGUAAGUAGAUAUGGGUUACAAUAGAAUUUAUUUAGUAUGGAUUAAAUGUUGAAAUAUAUUUAUGAAGGAGGAUUUAGUUGUAAGAGGAGGAUUAGCAAGAUUUUCUGAUAAAAGCUCUAAAUUAU
rnacentral:rRNA from 1 species